rnacentral:rRNA from 1 species
UUCUCCUACGGGGGGCAGCAGUGAGGAAUAUUGGUCAAUGGGCGCGAGCCUGAACCAGCCAAGUAGCGUGAAGGAUGACUGCCCUACGGGUUGUAAACUUCUUUUAUAAAGGAAUAAAGUGAGGCACGUGUGCCUUUUUGUAUGUAUUUUAUGAAUAAGAAUCGGCUAACUCCGUGCCAGCAGCCGUGGUAAUACGGAGGAACCGAGCGUUAUCAGGAUUUAUUGGGUUUAAGGGGAGCGUAGAUGGGUUGUUAAGUCAGUUGUGAAAGUUUGCGGCCCAACCGUAAAAUUGCAAUUGAUACUGG